rnacentral:rRNA from 1 species
UGGGGAAUAUUGCACAAUGGGCGAAAGCCUGAUGCAGCGACGCCGCGUGAGGGAUGACGGCCUUCGGGUUGUAAACCUCUUUCAGCAGGGAAGAAGCGCAAGUGACGGUACCUGCAGAAGAAGCGCCGGCUAACUACGUGCCAGCAGCCGCGGUAAUACGUAGGGCGCAAGCGUUGUCCGGAAUUAUUGGGCGUAAAGAGCUCGUAGGCGGCUUGUCACGUCGGGUGUGAAAGACCGGGGCUUAACCCCGGUUCUGCAUUCGAUACGGGCUGGCUAGAGUGUGGUAGGGGAGAUCGGAAUUCCUGGUGUAGCGGUGAAAUGCGCAGAUAUCAGGAGGAACACCGGUGGCGAAGGCGGAUCUCUGGGCCAUUACUGACGCUGAGGAGCGAAAGCGUGGGGAGCGAACA